UACAGAGGUGGCAAGCGUUGUUCGGAAUUACUGGGCGUAAAGGGCGCGUAGGCGGUUCGUUAAGUCCUAUGUGAAAUCCCCCGGCUCAACUGGGGAACUGCACAGGAAACUAGCGGGCUUGAGUUCGGGAGAGGGAAGCGGAAUUCCGGGUGUAGCGGUGAAAUGCGUAGAUAUCCGGAGGAACACCGGUGGCGAAGGCGGCUUCCUGGACCGACACUGACGCUGAGGCGCGAAAGCUAGGGGAGUAAACGGG
rnacentral:rRNA from 1 species